rnacentral:rRNA from 1 species
AUGUCAAGGAAGCUUUUGAUGGGCUCUUCUAGCCAAAGCUCUCAGGAAAAACAAGCCAAAGAGAAGGAAAAGGCCAAGCAUAAUCUUCCUCGCUUAGCGGAAGUACGGUCGUUUGAAUGGCCAUGUGAGGAUUUCUUGAAAGAAGCUGGAAUUCAUGAAGAUUUUUAUUCUUUGAUUGAGACUGCAGGCCUCACAGGUUUCAUGAACGACCGAAUCGAUCAGUAUCUCUUACUCACCAAUACUUUCGUGAAAAACUUUUAUUAUUAUCCUAAGAAGUCACCGCCUGCAGUAUCAUUUCAUUUAUACGAUGAAUUCAGGGAAAUGUCUUUACGUAAUUUUUGCGCGGUGUGUAGGAUACCUUAUGAGGGAGAAUUAGAGGAACCCCAUCGUGAAGAUGUGGGUGGCUUUGUUAAUACUAUAGCUGUAGAGGAGCCAAAGAAGGGCUCUGAGGCAAAAGUCUCUAGCAUACACUAUCCUGCUUCACGCUACUUUGCCAUAUUUGCUAGUAGAUGCUUGAUUGGUCAUGGAAAUAGUGGAAACUUGAGCGUUCCUGAUAUUAUCAUUCUUCAACAUGCUUUGCUUGGAGACAAUACUUUUAGUAUGGGUGCCGUCGUUGCUAAACGGCUAGCCCUGAAUCGUACAAAAGGCCCCAUAUUUGGAGGUAUAUAUGUUGCACGUCUUGCUAGAUAUUUUCAGAUACCCAUUAGGCACCAUGAGAAGGAGGAAAUAAAAUUGCCUCCUCACAUUUUAGAUUACAAGAGCAUGGUAGCACACAAGUUUAUUGUUGACAACGAAGAUAGGACGCUCUUGUAUAAACUUAGAUUUAAUAAGAAACACUUUGAGAUUAUUAUUUUGCCUCCACCUCUGUUGUUUGAUUUGCUUGCAGAAAAUCUUCUUGUCACACCGGAAGCAGUGAACAAUCAUCGAGCCCAAGCUUUUACUCCUGAACCUAAGCCGGAACCUGAACUGGACCCUUAUCGUGCAUCAUCUGUCCAGUGGGAUCCGGAGAUGACCAGCCAGUGGUAUCCUGAUUACACCUCCAAGUACACCAGGGAAAGUAGCAGCGGUCCUUGGUACUAG